GACGAACGCUGGCGGCGUGCUUAACACAUGCAAGUCGAACGGUAAGGCUCCAGCUUGCUGGGGUACACGAGUGGCGAACGGGUGAGUAACACGUGGGUGACCUGCCCUGCACUUCGGGAUAAGCCUGGGAAACUGGGUCUAAUACCGGAUAGGACCAUGGUGUGGAUACUGUGGUGGAAAGUUUUUUCGGUGUGGGAUGGGCCCGCGGCCUAUCAGCUUGUUGGUGGGGUAAUGGCCUACCAAGGCGGCGACGGGUAGCCGGCCUGAGAGGGUGGACGGCCACAUUGGGACUGAGACACGGCCCAGACUCCUACGGGAGGCAGCAGUGGGGAAUAUAGCACAAUGGGCGGAAGCCUGAUGCAGCGACGCCGCGUGGGGGAUGACGGCCUUCGGGUUGUAAACUCCUUUCACCAUCGACGAAGGGUUUCUGACGGUAGAUGGAGAAGAAGCACCGGCUAACUACGUG
rnacentral:rRNA from 1 species